AAUGUUGUCUCUCUUGAGUGGAUCCUGAGUACGACGGAGCACGUGAAAUUCCGUCGGAAUCUGGGAGGACCAUCUCCUAAGGCUAAAUACUCUCUAGUGACCGAUAGUGAACCAGUACCGUGAGGGAAAGGUGAAAAGCACCCCGGAAGGGGAGUGAAAUAGAACCUGAAACCGUGUGCUUACAAGUAGUCAGAGCCCGUUAAUGGGUGAUGGCGUGCCUUUUGUAGAAUGAACCGGCGAGUUACGAUUUGAUGCAAGGUUAAGCAGUAAAUGUGGAGCCGUAGCGAAAGCGAGUCUGAAUAGGGCGUUUAGUAUUUGGUCGUAGACCCGAAACCAGGUGAUCUACCCUUGGUCAGGUUGAAGUUCAGGUAACACUGAAUGGAGGACCGAACCGACUUACGUUGAAAAGUGAGCGGAUGAACUGAGGGUAGCGGAGAAAUUCCAAUCGAACCUGGAGAUAGCUGGUUCUCUCCGAAAUAGCUUUAGGGCUAGCCUCAAGUGAUGAUUAUUGGAGGUAGAGCACUGUUUGGACGAGGGGCCCCUCUCGGGUUACCGAAUUCAGACAAACUCCGAAUGCCAAUUAAUUUAACUUGGGAGUCAGAACAUGGGUGAUAAGGUCCGUGUUCGAAAGGGAAACAGCCCAGACCACCAGCUAAGGUCCCAAAAUAUAUGUUAAGUGGAAAAGGAUGUGGCGUUGCCCAGACAACUAGGAUGUUGGCUUAGAAGCAGCCAUCAUUUAAAGAGUGCGUAAUAGCUCACUAGUCGAGUGACACUGCGCCGAAAAUGUACCGGGGCUAAACAUAUUACCGAAGCUGUGGAUUGUCCUUUGGACAAUGGUAGGAGAGCGUUCUAAGGGCGUUGAA
rnacentral:rRNA from 1 species